rnacentral:lncRNA from 1 species
CGCAGAGACGGCUGAGAGGCAGGAAACGCUUCUUGAGGAGACCGCAGAUAAGUUUUUCUGUUAAGAUAGGGAUUACUCUUAUUCUCUAGGAAUUAUAAAUUAGCGAAAAUACUGAGCUGUAGUUUUGAGUUAAAUUCGUGAGAGUAGAUCUGAUAAUUAAUAGGAAGGUCUUAUUUUAGGGGAAAAUGGAGACGUCCUUAAAAAAUAGUAUGAGAAAGGAAGAAAGAAGAAAAAAGAUAAUAUUAGAACAUGACGGAGGUUAAGAGCUGAAGCUUCUUCAUGGAGUGAGAAAGCUAAUUUUAAAAGGAGUUGCCGAGACAGGACUGCAAAGUAUGGAAUUUUAAAGUCUUAAAUUGAAGGGCAGCUUUUUAGAUUAUUGUUCAAACGUAAUGCUAUAAAUAGAACCUAAACAAUACUUUUAAAGUCCAGUCGUAGAUGGAUUAAAAUGUUUUAAAAGCCAUCUUUAAAGGUCAGUUGAAGGUGAUUUAAGAAAUGCCUUCAAAUUCACGGCGCGAUCAAAACUGCGUCAUUUGAAGCCUUAAGGCUUUCUUUGGAAGUUGAUGGAAGUAUUAGUGGAGAAAGAAGAUUAGAAAUUUGAAGUGGAAAACUCGGAAGACAAGUACAGGAAGGUGAAGAAAAGAUUAGUGAAGAUAGGAAAACUAGAAGAUAAAAAAUACGGCUUUUAGAAGACAGAAAAAAACUAAGCCCAGAAGGUAGGAGGCAGAAGACAUCUAGAAAGAGAAGGUUGAAAAGAUGUUCGAGUGUUUGAGGUAGAAAAUGAGAAACAAGCUGUUGGAGACAAGCAUACAAGAUAGAGGUCCAAGUAAUUGGAAGAUAGAAAAGUCCGAAGCCAAAAAAUUGGAUAAGUACAAGACGCAAAACUAAGAAAAAUAAUUUUUAAUAGUUAAAUUUAUUUAAAAAGCCCAUCAACUUUAAUUUGUGGUGGUGCAGAAGUUAGAUCUGAGAAGAGGGUUUUAAACUACAGUAGACCAAGACCAACUUAGAAGAAUAUCUCGAAGCUGUAGAGGGAAGUAAAUUUAAAAUCACAGCAAAAAGCUACUAAAAAGACUGAUGUAAAAAUUAAGGUAGACGGAAGAGUUAAAAAUUUGAAAGGCCUUAAAUCCAUACAGUAGUUUAGUUUCUUCUGGAAAACUUAAAGGACGAUAAAUUCAACAGCGAGGAUAACCAAGUUAACAUUUUUUGCAUUGGACUUUGAGCUAAGAUGAAUUUCUAAACCCUGAGGACUAGGCGCUAAUUAACAGCUGACCAGGUGCUACACAGAAGUGGAUUCAGAGAACCUAGGAAGACAGCAGCAGACAGGAUUCCAGGAGCCAGUUUUUGGUGAAACUAGGACUGAGGAGCGAGCGGCAGUUCGUGAAGAUAGGAAGGAGGAGCCCGGGAGCCAGUGCGAUUUGGUGAAGGAAGCUAGGAAGAAGGAAGGAGCCCUAACGGUUGGAGGUGAAGCUAGGAGAGGAUUCCAGGAAGGAGGAAGCCAGUGCGAUGUGGUGAUGAAGCUAGCGUGCGGCUUGGCGGCGUGGCUUGGCAACCCCGCGGAGGAGGCGAGCAGGCGGUGUGGAGGCUAGAUAGAGCGUCCUAGAGCGGCAGCCCAGUGUGCAAGGCCGGCAGGGAGAGCCAGUGGUGUGGUAAAAAUCCGUGAGGUCGGCAGUAUCGUGGGUUCUGCUUUGUUUCUUCACCUUUUUUUGGUAACAGUUUCUCUUUUUCAGGCGUAUUUUCUCAUCUUGUCUGAAGCUUUUGAGGGCAGACUACCAAGGCCCGGAGGAAUAGUAGAUGGCAAGUGUUUUCGUUUUUAACCAAUAUGAGGGAAAACAAAUGAAUUUGAUAGAACAACCUUGAGACAGUUUCAGCCAGCUUUGUAAGCAGGUUUUAUAUUUAGCUUGGUAAUGAAGCAUUUCCGUUUUGUGAGUAGAUGACUUAAUUUUCUUUCUCAUUCUCUAUUCUAAGUUACCUAUAUAUAUAUAGUUGGGUGUGUAAUUCGGGGGGGUAAAGGUUUUGGGGGGGCAAAAUAUGUUUUGAGUUCUUUUCCCCUUAGGUCUGUCUAGAAUUCCAAAGGCAAAUGACUCAAGGUAACAGGAAAAAAGAAAAUCCAGUAUCAGGAUAAUCAGAACACCACAGGUUUACAGUUUGUAGAAACUAGAACACGAGCAGCUCUCACUUAAGGUCUGUGAUGGAACUCCAGUGGAGAAAUGGCUGGUACUUUUUCCACCCCUUAAUCAGAUUUUUUUUUAAUUAAAGUAUGUAACCGGUUAUUUUUACUUGAAGUAUUUUGGGGUGGUCUUAACAGGGAAGAGGGUGGGGGAGAAAAUGUUUUUUUCUAAGACUUUCCACAGAUGCUAUAGUACUAUUGACAAACUGAGUUAGAGAAGGAUUGUACUGCUAUGCUGUUGGCACCAAACACCUUCAGGGAUUGGAGCUGCUUUUUUCCUUGGAGUAUUCCCAGUGAAGCUGAAAUAUACAGCACAGUGCAGCUUUGGUUCAUAUUCAGUCAUCUCAGGAGAACUUCAGAAGAGCUUGACUAGGCCAAAUAUUGAAGUUAAGUUUUCAAAUAAUGGAACUUUUUAAGAUGCCUUUUAAAGGGGAGGGGCAAGUUUUGGCAAUUAGUUGGCAGUGGCCUGUUUUGGUUGGGGUUGGGUGGGUUGGGUUUAGGUAAUUGUUUAGUUUAUGAUUUCAGAUAACUCAUGCCAGAGAACUUAAAUACUUAGGAUGGAAAAACUAAAGAAAUCUCACCUCCCAAGUUGGCAAGUAACUCCUGAUCCUCUAGUUUCUUGUUUUACCCCAAUUUUUGAACUGGACAGCUGGGAACUUCAAAGAUUCACUGGAUUUAAAGUGUAGGGCUUGGGAAAGGAAAGUGUUGGAUUGGGGGUUGGUCUAGCCCACUGGGUUGACCAAGAUAAAAACUUGGGGAAUUGUUUAAACACUAAAGUUGUUUGGAUAUGGUAGUGUGUGGUUCUCUUUUGGAAUUUUUUUCAGGUGAUUUAAUAAAACUUAAUACUACUAUAGGAGCUUCAGAGCAAAGGAAGUGGCUUAAUGAUCCUGAAGGGAUUUCUUCUGAUGGUAGCUUUUAUAUUAUCAAGUAAGAUUCUAUUUUCAGUUACAUAAGCAAGUUUUUUAGUAUAGGAAAUUUUUGUAUGGCUGCGAGACAAGAUGUAAAGGUAUGCUUCAAAAUUGUUGUAAAUUGUGUAUUGAAUUUGCACCUAAGUAUUUGUAAAUCAUAAUCAAUUAAAAGGGGUGGGUUUUUGUUGAUGGGGGGGAAACCUUUUUUUUCUGUAGACUUUUUUCAGAUAACAUCUUCUGAGUCAUACCCAGCCUGGCAAUAUGAUGGCCUAGAUGGAGAGGGGAACAGCUCCUUGGUGAAUGAUAAGUAAAGGCAGAAAAGAUUAUAUUUCAUACCUAUCUUCAUUGGGCAAAAGCAUAACUCUGAAAUCCUUACUACUGAUGAACUCAUGGUCUGCAUAUGCAAAAAAAAAAUUUAAGCAAAUGAAAGCUACCAAUUUAAAGUUAAUGGAAUCUACUCUUAAAGUUAUGGCAUAUCAAGCUGUAUCCACAAAAAUAAUGAAUCGAUGAGAAAUAAAAUAAUGAAAUGAUGAGAAAUACCAUGAAGAUCUAAUGCCCACCUCAAAAUACUGCUUUUACAAAAGCAGAAUAAAAAAUGAAAUGAAAUGAAAAUGAUAAAGCUACACAUUAACCCUGGAAUAAAAGAAGCUGAAAUAAUUGAAAGGAGUGGGAUCAAGUGGAUUGAGAGGAAGCUGUGCUGUUUGCCAAUCUUUCGUUUGCCUCAGACAGGUUUCUCUAUCAGAAGAGUUGCUUCAUAUCAUCUGGGAGCAGAAAACAGCAGGCAGCUGUUCACAGAUAAGUUUAACUUGCAUCUGCAGUAUUGCAUGUUAGGGAUAAGUGCUAUGUUUAAUAAGAGCUGUGGAGGUCCUAGGUCCCUUACUCAAGGGAUCUCAGGAUUUUGAGGAAUUUUCCCAUCCAGCCUUUUAAAAUGAGACAGGCCUUAUGCCUGUGGGCUUCCAUGAUGGGCUAACUCACUUCACUCGAGGCAAGUAAUUCCUUAAAGCCUCUUGAGAUUAAUACCUUAAUAAUCAAGGAUAAUGUUGAUAAAAUAAAAAUUUGUUUAGCAUUGAUUCUUGAAAACCCUAUGAAAAGAUAGCAUAAUGUGCUGUUAACCAGAAUCAGAUAUGUUAACCUUGCUAAAAUUUAAAUGUUAUGUGUAUUGUGCAGAAAACCGUAAAAUCACUCAAAAUAAAAUACUUUAUUUAGCGAAUGUAUGCUUUUAGAAAGCUGUCUCCUUAUUUAAAUAAAAUAUUGUUUGUCUGUAGUUAGUGUUGGGCAAUCUUGGGGGGAUUCUUCUCAUCUUUCAGAGACUUUGUCUGCGAACACUCUGUAAUGGACAAGAUCAGGAAUUGAGCUGAAGAACGAAUUUAACUUAAGGCAGGAAAGACAAAUUUUAUCCUUCGUAAAAUUGAUGACCAUUUAAUAAUUCCAGGCACAUGGCCAUAGAGACCCUCUAAAUAAAUAAGGAAUAAAUACUUAUUAGGCAGGUGGGAGAUUAUGAUCAGAAGAACAGGUAACUACACCUACGCAUUUUUCAGAAAGUCAGGAGUCGAAAUUGACAGUACUGAAGUAUAAUGCGGUCCACAUUUCCAAAGUUUGCAUGUUAAAUUGAAAUGCUUACCAUCUCAUCUAGUGUUAGCCAAUGCUUUACACUUAUUAGCCUUUUAUAUAGACACUUGGUGGGGGGCAUGUGGGUUUUUUAAAGAACUUUCCUUUGCAGAGGCUUCGUUUCAUCCUUCAUGAGGCUGUUCAGGAUUUUGACUUGCAUAUAAACGCUUGGCUCUGCCUUCUGUUCUCCUAGUGGGUGUGUGAGACCUUGCAGUGAGUUUUCAGCAUACUCAAGUAAAAAUUUUUUUCCCCCUGAUUUUGGAGGGAAGGGAGGAGAGGGUGGGGCUUACUUGUUUUAGCUUUUUUUUUGCAGACUACACAGAAUGCAGUUGUCUUGACCUCAGGUCUGUCUGUUCUGUUGGCAAGUAAUAAUGCAGUACUGUUCUGACCUGCUGCUAUUAGAAUGCAUUGUGAAACGACUGGAGUAUGAUUAAAAGUUAUGUUUCCCCCAAUGCUUGGAGUAGUGAUUGUUGAAGGAAAAUCCACUGAGUGAUAAAAGGCUGAGUGUUGAGGAAAUUUCUGCAGCUUUAAGCAUUCAUGUUUGUGAUUGAAGCAGUCCUUUUUGCUGUGCUUUAGGUAAAAUGCUUUUUGUUCACUUCUGGUAGGGGGGGUGGGGAGGGCACUGAAGCCUUUAGUCUUUUCCAGAUGCAACUUUAAAAUCAGUGACAAGAAAUAAGUUCCAAACGAACAACAGACUUCAAGAAGUUUAACUGGCAAGUGGAAACGUUUUAACAUCAGUUCAGUGGUCUUAGUGCAUUGUGUGUGCAGGUUUCUCUCUUCCCUCCCUUGGUCUCAAUUCUUAUACACAGGAACAUUCAGAACAACAGAUGAAGGGCCAGAGAAGCCAGACCCAGUAAGGAAAAAAAAA